CUAUGACUUUUGUCAUGGCGAAGGGAG
ncrna:unclassified sequences L31-Firmicutes ribosomal protein leader